UGUGUUGAGAGGAUUUCAGUGAGAAAUAACGCCAUUGAGCAAAUUAACGAGCUUAAUUAUUAGGGUAGCGGUUGCAGAGGCAGGAAGCAGGAGGACAGACCAGUUUCGAGUGACACAGCUGGGUAGAGUAAUGCAAGAAGCCAUGUUCUUCUGUCUCUUUCACUUCCUGCUUCAGGAAUUGGGAAGGAGAACUACAGACUAUGGAUCCAAGUCAUGCAGGGGUAUGAAUUUCAGCUCUGUUUGUGUCCCAAGGAAGUUGAAGACAACUUCAAGAGCAAGAGGAAAGGAGAGAGUUACCUACAAAGGAGUUUCCAUAUAACUAUCGGCUGGUUUCUCAAAAGACACCUUACAAGCAAGAAGGGGCUGGAAGGAAGAAUUUGAAGUCA